UAUAUAUGAGUAUUUUUGUACGUAAAUUUUUGAUAUUUAAGGUAUUAGUUUAAUUCUAAUAUAUAUAU
rnacentral:tRNA from 1 species